AUACUUACCUGGCAGGGGAGAUACCAUAAUCACGAAGGUGGUGUUCCCAGGGCGAGGCACUCCGGAUGUGCUGACCCCUGCAAUUUCCCCAAAUGCGGGAAACUCGACUGCAUAAUUUGUGGUAGUGGGGGACUGUGUUUGCGCUUUCCCCUA
ensembl:snRNA U1 U1 spliceosomal RNA